GUGUGUAUUAAAGGACAGAAGGUUAGCACUCCCCUCGAUAAGAAUGGAUGAGGUCUUAGUGGCCCUUACAACACACACAAGGGUAUGGAUAAGGAAAUACUUUCUUUUGU
rnacentral:ncRNA from 1 species